UGCAAGCGUUACUCGGCAUUACUGGGCGUAAAGCGUGCGUAGGUGGUUCGUUAAGUCUGAUGUGAAAGCCCUGGGCUCAACCUGGGAAUGGCAUUGGAUACUGGCGACCUAGAGUGCGGUAGAGGGGUGUGGAAUUCCCGGUGUAGCAGUGAAAUGCGUAGAUAUCGGGAGGAACACCUGCGGCGAAGGCGGGUUGCUGGGCCGACACUGACGCUGAUGCGCGAAAGCCAGGGGAGCGAACGGG
rnacentral:rRNA from 1 species